rnacentral:tRNA from 1 species
GGGUCUGUAGCUCAGUUGGUAGAGCAGCGGACUUUUAAUCCGUUGGUCCCGCGUUCGAGUCGCGGACGACCCACCA